GCUGGCGAGAAGUGGUAUGUACGGUCACCUGUGGGAAGUGCUCAGAACUGUGACGCCUCCAAACUGAGAAUCCCGUGACCCAAGUGGACUCACAGUCUCACAAUUUGCACUGUUUUACAGGUAAUAUUAUAUUUCAUGCCACUGUGUUUGUUUGGCUGUUCACAUAUUUGUCCUCACCUAUUGUUAUGAUGCUAAUGCUAAAAUGGCUAUGCCGCAGCCUGGUUUAUCAACCGUAUGGUUUGAAGCAGCCAUUUUGGAUGCGAGGUGUGUUUAGAGACAUCCUGUAAAAUGUAGUUUCUGUAAAUUUACUGUGUAUUUUGCAUAUAAAAAAAAGGAUUAUUG